AACGAACGCUGGCGGCAUGCCUAACACAUGCAAGUCGAACGAAGCCUUCGGGCUUACUGGUGCACGGGUGCGUAACGCGUGGGAAACUGCCUCUUGCUCUGCCAUAACGGUUAGAAUUGCCUGCUAAUACCGGCGCUAAUCUCCCGUCCAAAGGUUUGUCGGCAAGGGGGGAGCCCGAGUAGGAUUGGGUUGUUAGGUGGGUAAAGGGCUACCAAGAGGUCGUUCGUUAGCUGGGCUGGGAGGAAGAUCAGCCACACUGGGCUUAGGAAACGGCCCGGACUCCUACGCGAGGGAGGAAUGGCGAAUAUUGCACAGUGGACGCAAGUAUGAACCAGCAAUGCCGCGUGAGUGAUGAAGGCCUUGGGGAUGUAAAGCUCUUUUACCCGGGAUGAUAAUGACAUUACCUAGAGAAUAAGCACCGGCUAACUCCGUG
rnacentral:rRNA from 1 species